rnacentral:misc_RNA from 1 species
GAUGAAGAACGGAGCGAAAUGCGAUACGUAAUGUGAAUUGCAAAUUCAGUGAAUCAUCGAGUCUUUGAACGCACAUUGCGCCCCCUGGUAUUCCGGGGGGCAUGCCUGUCCGAGCGUCAUUGCUGCCCUCAAGCACGGCUUGUGUGUUGGGCCCCGUCCUCCGAUCCCGGGGGACGGGCCCGAAAGGCAGCGGCGGCACCGCGUCCGGUCCUCGAGCGUAUGGGGCUUUGUCACCCGCUCUGUAGGCCCGGCCGGCGCUUGCCGAUCAACCCAAAUUUUUAUCCAGGUUGACCUCGGAUCAGGCAGGGAUACCCGCUGAACUUAAGCAUAUCAAUAAGCGGAGGA